rnacentral:lncRNA from 1 species
UCCGGUGUUCAGGAUGCCAGGGAUGAUGGGAAGCCUGUUCUUGUUUAUCGGUUUGUACGGAACUUCACCCGCGGUAGAGUACGGCCUGAGAAUUUUGUUCCAGCACCGGUGUGAGGAAAACAUCUGAGCCCAUGAAUUGCCAGACCCUGGAUACCUGAGACACAUCCACUUGCUUCUCAGAUUGGACAUCUGUGGGCUUCCCUUUGCUAUGACGUAAGUGUGGUACAAGCGGAGCUCCAGUGCUAUCCGUGAAUACUAGUAGAGUUCUAAUUCUGGUUAAGAGUUUGGGAUGGGGCCUUGCUGCACUGUAACUGUGAAGGUGUUUUAUAAAGAAUCUUGUGAUGAUUCAGCAUUGUGAAAUAGUGACAACAGCAUGGUAAAUUGAAUCAAAUAAACCCAGACAUAUUGUUUGUGGGCAAAAUUAGAACCCUUCCAGUUAUCCCAGGUACAGUUCAUGCUUGUCUUGUUGGUCCCUUCCUAUUCUGUAUCACCUUCCUCUUCUCUCACUUCCCUCUUCUCUCCAUCUCUUCCCUCCCAGUCUGGGUCCCGUCGUCCCCCCACCCCCGCCCUCUCUCCCUCACUUUUAUAGGGUUUCCUGUAGUUUAGGUUGACUUCAACCUUGAAUUUUCUAUCCUUCUCCCAUGUCCUGAGACUAUAGGUGUAUGCUAGCAUCACCUUUGGCCUGUUUCUCUCUCUAGGUUUGGAGUGCAUAAUGAGGAGAAAUAAAAACAGAAAGAUCUCCAGAAAGAAGCCAUGGUAAGAUUCAAGGUUUCACAGUCCAAGCUAAUGCCUGUGGACACUUGACCAAGUGAUCUGAGAAAAUUGGAUUUCUGGCAAAACAAGUGUACCUAGACUCAGGCAAGGGUGGAGAACAGAGGGCGACUAGAUUAAAUGGAAAGAAUGCCCAGGCAUCCCAUUGCCUCCCUUUGACGUUCCAGAACUUCAUCAAGACAGUGAUGAGCUACAUGUACACCUGGAGGAGGACCAUGCAGAAUACCAUCCAGCGCCAUGAACACUAGUCAGUCAGUCAGUAAUGGUGGGCUUCUUGGUGUGCUCCAGCUCAAUUUUCUCAUGUUUGAUGAUUAGUUCAGGAUCAAGCUCAGAAGCGCACAGCUGCCAGCAAGCAGUCUACUACUGAACUGCACCAUCUCUCCAGCCUGUGCUUACUCUUGAAUAGCCCCAAAGUAGUCAAUGGUAUGGCAAAAUAAACCUCCAUUUCAUUUAGAUUUUUAUAGUAUUUUUUGCCACUUAAAUUAUUUUAUGUAGUUGAGUAUGAUUUUUUUUCCCCCUAAGGAAUUCUAUGUAUCUCAAUUUCAAGAGUCUUCAGCCUUUAUGUUAUACAUAAUUUCCUAUAGAUUUCAAAGUUGCUUUAAUAAAAAGUUUAAUGUUAAAA